rnacentral:lncRNA from 10 species
GCCAGGCUAGGCAGGGGACAGCGGCUGCCCUGGUCCUCACAGCCCUGGCUACGGGGCUGGUGACAGCCAGAUCCUCAUGCUUCUGCGACCUGAGCGCUGCCUUCAGACACCUCUCUGCUGGCGUGUUCCUGGGUCCAUGAUGGAAGAAGGAAAAGUAUUUUUAAAAGACAAUCUGAAGCUCAUACUGUGACUGCAACAUAAAAUGUGUUCACCUGAGGAGACUGCUUUCAUCGCCAGUGUGUCACAGAUGGUGGAAACCUCAGAAGGCCACAGUCCAGAGUAGGGGCUUAAUGCAAGCUGCUGGAACUGAAUAAAGAAGGUCUCUGAUGGUUCUGGUUUCCUGGGCACCUAGAAUAAGUGUGUCACCAUUUGUCCUGAAGCUGACUUCUCUGAGCUGGAUGGCACCCUGGACAUCAACCAGCCCUUCACCUUCACGUCACACAGGAGGGACACUGGUCCAUAGAGAGGAUGCCUGCUCUGGUCACCAGCUGGAGAGUGGCAGACCUUGGGUACCUGACCUUUGGACUCUGCCACACAGAGCACUUCCUCAGUCCCUCCUGCUGCCCCUGGCAGGGUGGAGCUGGCAGGCCUGGUCUCCAUAACAGAAAGGGUCUCAAGAGUUGCGAAGGAGAAUCCUGAAGUCGGCCAGCUAGUCUAGCGGAGUUCCACCUGAGAGGGUUGCCAUGAGGAUCCAGGUGAAAAGCCCUUAGAACAGCGCCUGACUCAC